AUACGAAUGUGGCAAGCGUUGUUCGGAAUCACUGGGCGUAAAGAAUGCGUAGGCGGCUAGACAAGUCAGGAGUGAAAUCCCAGGGCUCAACCCUGGAACUGCUUUUGAAACUGUCUUGCUAGAGUCCCGGAGGGGUUGGCGGAAUUCCGAGUGUAGAGGUGAAAUUCGCAGAUAUUCGGAGGAACACCAGUGGCGUAGGCGGCCAACUGGACGGGAACUGACGCUGAGGCAUGAAAGUGUGGGGAGCAAACAGGAUUAGAUACCCUGGUAGUCCACACCGUAAACGAUGUGUGCUAGUUGUUGGGUGGCAUUGCCAUUCAGUGACGGAGCUAACGUUUUAAGCACACCGCCUGGGAAGUACGGCCGCAAGGUUAAA
rnacentral:rRNA from 1 species